CGCACAUUGCGCCCUCUGGUAUUCCGGGGGGCAUGCCUGUUCGAGCGUCAUUAUCACCCCUCAAGCCCGGCUUGUUGUUGGACGUCGGCGGCGCCGCGAGGCCCCGCCCGUCUCAAAGAUAAUGACGGCGUCUGUGAGGACUCCUGUACACUGAGCUUUCGGGCACGUACUAGGCUAGAACUCCAGGCCCGGUCUUUAAUCCCAGCCCUCACGGGUUGGGACUCUUUUACAAGGUUGACCUCGGAUCAGGUAGGAAUACCCGCUGAACUUAA
rnacentral:misc_RNA from 1 species